UUUUAUGAGAGUUUGAUCCUGGCUCAGGACGAACGCUGGCGGCGUGCCUAAUACAUGCAAGUCGUACGCUUCUUUUUCCACCGGAGCUUGCUCCACCGGAAAAAGAGGAGUGGCGAACGGGUGAGUAACACGUGGGUAACCUGCCCAUCAGAAGGGGAUAACACUUGGAAACAGGUGCUAAUACCGUAUAACAAUCGAAACCGCAUGGUUUUGAUUUGAAAGGCGCUUUCGGG
rnacentral:rRNA from 1 species